GACGAACGCUGGCGGCGUGCUUAACACAUGCCAGUCGAACGGAAAGGCCCUGCUUGCCGGGUACUCGAGUGGCGAACGGGUGAGUAACACGUGGGUGAUCUGCCCUGCACUUCGGGAUAAGCCUGGGAAACUGGGUCUAAUACCGGAUAGGAGCCAUUUUUAGUGUGAUGGUUGGAAAGUUUUUUCGGUGUAGGAUGAGCUCGCGGCCUAUCAGCUUGUUGGUGGGGUAAUGGCCUACCAAGGCGGCGACGGGUAGCCGGCCUGAGAGGGUGGACGGUCACAUUGGGACUGAGAUACGGCCCAGACUCCUACGGGAGGCAGCAGUGGGGAAUAUUGCACAAUGGGCGCAAGCCUGAUGCAGCGACGCCGCGUGGGGGAUGACGGCCUUCGGGUUGUAAACUCCUUUCGCUAGGGACGAAGCUUUUUGUGACGGUACCUAGAUAAGAAGCACCGGCUAACUACGUG
rnacentral:rRNA from 1 species